AAACCCGGCAGUCGUCAUGGGCUGUCACCCGCUGCUGAACACAUAGGCAGUG
rnacentral:rRNA from 1 species